rnacentral:lncRNA from 1 species
CUGAUCUAAUAAGUUUCACAAUACUAACAGAUGACAAUAAUAACAGCAAUAAAGACAAGAAAUGAGGCAAAAGUGACUCACUUGUGCAGAAUAACGCUGAUGAAAUUCAUUCGUGCUUCUGCUAUGAACUUGAAACUUUCAGUUUCAUAUCUACAGAAACUGUCUGUCUACGGAUUGUAAAUACAGAUCCAUUUAACCCAGAAUGUCAUGAUUUGAUCAAUGAGUGUGUUCGCAUCACUGAAGUUACUCUGCGCGGCUGGUCCGUCAGUAAAUACCUCCCCUUCAUUUGUAGUUCCUUUGAUUUUAAGUUCUUCUCUUAUAAAUGUGCAUAUAAGUAAAAUUUAAUAACAUAACAUUUUAAAAUAUAUUCAGAACAUCCCUCCUGCUUCGUAAGACAAUAUCACAAAUAAAUGGAGUAAUUUAUUUUAUGACGCACGAGCCGGAAGUAAUGUUUGGGGUUACUCAUAUAUGUGCAGUAGUAUAUAUUCAUCCGUGUGGAGGUCAGAACUACUGUUUCACUGAGACUUUUGCUGUUUUGCCUGCUUACACGAAGACUAUAUAUUUCAGCAUGAAACCGUCCAAACCGUCCACUGGAAAGCGCCUUACAAAACCCAUUCUUUUUGGGACACUGCUCGUAGGUUUGGCCACAGCAUUUCUGAAUAGGCAUUUGUUCAUGGAGGACCUGACAGAUCUCAGGGAGCAGGAACGAUCCCGCAAUGAGGCCAAACGGCUGGAGGUGCUGGAAAGAAGGAGAAAACAAAUGGAUGAACUUGUAGAGAAGAAGAGUGCAGGGGACAGGUGAGAUGACUGAAUGGAAACCCGCAGGAAACCAACACUGAAGAAAACAUGGGACAUUUUUUUGCCAAUAAGGAUUUGUGGAGUGUUAUAAAACUUUUUCCUUGAUUGUUCUGAUAUUGCUGUAAUGGGACAGAAGUUGCACGGAAAGUCAUGAGUGAUGUAGUAAGUAAUGAUUUGAAUUGAUUGUUUUGAUCAUAUUUAGCUGUAACAGCUGGAUUUGCAAGAGGAUUAGAAUGGUAAAUAUUAAUGGGCCAAACAAAUAUGUAUGUGCCUCAUUCCUGCCACUGACAAAAAGCUACUUGGAUUUUAUUUAAUUAACACACACACACACACACACACACACACAUAUAUAUAUAUAUAUAUAUAUAUAUAUAUAUA